rnacentral:rRNA from 1 species
UGGGGAAUAUUGCACAAUGGGCGCAAGCCUGAUGCAGCGACGCCGCGUGAGGGAUGACGGCCUUCGGGUUGUAAACCUCUUUCAGUAGGGAAGAAGCGAAAGUGACGGUACCUGCAGAANAAGCGCCGGCUAACUACGUG